rnacentral:rRNA from 1 species
CUAAGAGCUUAUGGUGAAUGCCUUGG